GGUGGCUCAGUUGGUAGAGUGCUUGCCUGGCAUGCAUGAGGUCCUGGGUUCAAUUCCUCAGCACCA
rnacentral:tRNA from 1 species